ensembl:lncRNA
UUUUUUUUUUUUUUUUUGGUUUCCUACGGGGCUGGGAGCAUUGUAGGGAUUUAGUAAAUAAGGCAAUGACUCAUUUUCACAAUAGCAAAACUCUUUCAAAUAUAGAAAGACAGACCACUCCGUUCUGCUGCUUUCUAGCUCUGUGAUAUUGGAUAAGUUGUGUUGUCUGGGCCUCAGCUUCUUCAUCUGUAAAAUGGUAAUAAAAACAGUGCCUACCACAUAACGAUGUUGUAAAGAUGGAAUGAGACACCAUUGAUUAGGUUUUCUGUUUAAUGCAAUGGAUACAGAAAGUCAGGGCUACAUAGGUAGGAGAAUAAUCAGCCCAGAACCAAUGUCUGGGCUAUUGUUACUCAGAGUCAUGGUAUAACAAUAGAGAAGGAAACACUAAAUGUAAUUCAUGGGUCUGGUUCUAGUCCUAAUUCUGUCUUUUAUAUAAGAAAGAACUUAUGUCCUUGCUGUUCACCUUCUAAGCAUCGCUCGGCUCUCCAAAAUUCUUUUGGUCCCCAGUCAAGCAGUGGUUACCAUCAGCCUCCCUCAUCUCGCACAACCUCCUAUGACCCAAGCAUCCUUUCCCGCCAGAAAAGUUCCCCAAGACUCCUCCACCAUCACCCAAACAAAACCAGCCUCAAUGUUAAUAUCUAGUGAUUUUAAGUGUAUAUUGUGUGCCAGGCAUUGUGAUGGGCACUUUCUACUUAUCUCAUUUGAAAGCACCCAGCCACCCAACCAGAUUUUCUGUAUGAGAAAAAGACUCAUAAGUGGCAGAGGUAGAAUUUGAAUUCAAGUCCACCUGACCUCUGUAACCACACCAGACCAAUCUGGUUCAACUUUCAUGUAACAAAGUUGUGAGUUGUUUUUCAGUUGAUAUCAAGGUUAAAGGUCACAUAACCUGAGCAUGCCCAGAUGAACCAAGUGUACAACUACAGUUGGAACUUAAGUUCUCAGACCAAGGAAUGGGGACUGAAUUAAGAAGUGAAAACUACAUGGCAAAAUGCAGGAUCCAAUCAAAUUGAUUGGUGUCAAUUUGCCCUGGUGUCACCUCAUGGCAGGAUCCAAUCAGAUCAUGCUUCCCAGCAUCACCUCAUUGCAAGAUCCAAUCAGAUUGUGCCUCAUUACCCUAUGCUUAUAAGACCUGACCCAGUGCCCAACUCAGGAAGGCAGAUUUGACCAUUUCCUCCUCUCUCCUUGCCAGUCAACUUGCAAUAAAGCUUUUCUCUCUUUCUGUCCACUCUGUGUCCAUGUGUUCUCAUCAUUUAGCUCCCACUUAUAAGAGAACAUGUGAUAUUUGGUUUUCUGUUCCUGCAUUAGUUUGCUAAGAAUAAUGGCCUCCAGCUCCACUCAUGUCGCUGCAAAGGACAUGAUCUCAUUCUUUUUAUAGCUGUAUGAUAUUCCAUGUGGUAUAUGUACCACAUUUUCUUUAUCCAGUCUAUUAUUGAUGGGCAUUUAGGUCGAUUCCAUGUUUUUCUAUUGUAAAUUCCCAAAGAAAGCUUUUCUUCUCUCCAAAGCCAUUGCCAUGGUAUUGGCUUCUAUGAGCAUCAAGCCGUGAGUGCACUGAUUGUUCAGUAACACUUCUAAAGUGGUGCUCUUAAUGAUCACCCUGUUCUGUAUAUGAGGAGGAAAGAAAUAAAAAAUAUCAACUUAUAUCUGGCAGGGAUGGCUAACUGUCCCCCAGUCUCUACUCUCCCCUGCUUAAAUAGCAGUGGCUCUUCAUCAGAGACAAUUUUGUCUCCAAGGGGACAUUUGGCAAAGUCUGGAGAUAUUUGGUUG